UACGUAGGGGGCAAGCGUUGUCCGGAAUCAUUGGGCGUAAAGCGCGUGUAGGCGGUUCUGUAAGUCUGCUGUGAAAGUCCAGGGCUCAACCCUGGGAUGCCGGUGGAUACUGCAGGGCUAGAGUACGGAAGAGGCGAGUGGAAUCCCGGUGUAGCGGUGAAAUGCGCAGAUAUCGGGAGGAACACCUAUUGCGAAGGCAGCUCGCUGGGACGUUACUGACGCUGAGACGCGAAAGCGUGGGGAGCAAACAGG
rnacentral:rRNA from 1 species